rnacentral:rRNA from 1 species
UACGGAGGGUGCAAGCGUUGUCCGGAAUCACUGGGCGUAAAGGGCGCGUAGGCGGCCUGGUAAGUAGGGGGUGAAAUCCUGCGGCUUAACCGCAGGGCUGCCUUCUAAACUGUCAGGCUUGAGCACGGUAGAGGCAGAUGGAAUUCCCGGUGUAGCGGUGGAAUGCGUAGAUAUCCGGAGGAACACCGGUGGCGAAGGCGGCUUCCUGGACCGACACUGACGCUGAGGCGCGAAAGCUAGGGGAGCAAACGGG